GGAAAUCUUAUAUGGGCCCCGCUGUUUACAUGGUCGCAGAGCCGGGUGCGGCCUAGAAACGAGGACGCGCCACCUCUUGGGUUUUGUACCAGAAAGGCCAAAUCCGCGCACGGCACGCCCAGCCAGCCAAACAACAGAGGCUGUCCGGUUGCGCACGCACUCAAACCUACCGAUCCGGCUAUCAGGGAACACGUAUCGACGCGUGUUGGCUGCCUGGAUCACCAAUGUUCGCAUCAAGAUACCAAAGGACCAACAUCGGCUUCAUUCCCUGUCGCCCUACGUCGCUCCCAUCGCCUUGGUCACCUGAUCUCGGCAGCCCAAUCAAGUCUGACUACCGUCUACAAAAUGACUGCUCUGGCUGACUCCCGUCGCAGUCGGCGGCAAGGCUCUACCAUGUAUUAAUCUGUUAUUUUGCUGUUGACAGGCACUGCCGUUCAAGCCCACUGCGCAUUUGGCAGGCCCGAUUCUUCCACUGUAUGAUUCUCAUGUCAUCAAUAAAUUAUUAUUAUUAUUAUUAUUA